GACGAACGCUGGCGGCGUGCCUAAUACAUGCAAGUCGAGCGAAUCAUUAGGAGCUUGCUCCUGAAGGUUAGCGGCGGACGGGUGAGUAACACGUGGGCAACCUGCCUGUAAGACUGGGAUAACACCGGGAAACCGGUGCUAAUACCGGAUAAUUCUUUUUCUCACAUGAGGGAAAGCUGAAAGUCGGUUUCGGCUGACACUUACAGAUGCGCCCGCGGCGCAUUAGCUAGUUGGUGAGGUAACGGCUCACCAAGGCGACGAUGCGUAGCCGACCUGAGAGGGUGAUCGGCCACGCUGGGACUGAGACACGGCCCAGACUCCUACGGGAGGCAGCAGUAGGGAAUCUUCCGCAAUGGACGAAAGUCUGACGGAGCAACGCCGCGUGAGUGAUGAAGGCCUUCGGGUCGUAAAACUCUGUUGUUAGGGAAGAACAAGUAUCGGAGUAACUGCCGGUACCUUGACGGUACCUAACCAGAAAGCCACGGCUAACUACGUGCCAGCCGCCGCAGUAAAAC
rnacentral:rRNA from 1 species